GGGGAUGUAGCUCAGUGGUAGAGCGCACGCUUUGCAUGUGUGAGGCCCCGGGUUCAAUCCCCCGACAUCUCCA
rfam:Ciona savignyi cont_30891, whole genome shotgun sequence.